rnacentral:rRNA from 1 species
CCUACGGGAGGCAGCAGUGGGGAAUAUUGGGCAAUGGAGGCAACUCUGACCCAGCAACGCCGCGUGAAUGAUGAAGGUCUUCGGAUCGUAAAGUUCUGUGAUGGGGGAUGAACACAAUGACGGUUCCCCAAUAGCAAGCCACGGCUAACUACGUGCCAGCAGCCGCGGUAAUACGUAGGUGGCAAGCGUUAUCCGGAAUGACUGGGCGUAAAGGGUGCGUAGGUGGUUUAGUAAGUUGGCGGUGUAAUUCCGGUGCUCAACCUGGGCGCUACCGCCAAAACUAUUAGACUAGUGUGCAGGAGGGGUAAGUGGAAUUCCUAGUGUAGCGGUGGAAUGCGUAGAUAUUAGGAGGAACAUCAGGGGCGAAGGCGACUUACUGGACUGUAACUGACACUGAGGCACGAAAGCGUGGGGAGCAAACAGGAUUAGAUACCCCUGUAGUC